UGAGUGUUGGAGCUUCAGGAUGUGUGUGCCC
rnacentral:piRNA from 1 species